UCUCCCCGUGCCUGAGAAUUCUGAACAAGAACAUCAAUAGAGGCCAAAUAUGGAGCAACUGUCAGGGUUUUGUUUAUGAAGUGAACACGGUCUUGGAUCUUUUUCUCCUGAACAAAUUUACGCAGCUCUGUUUCAAACUUUGUCUGAGCAUUCAUGUCACUUCCAACAACUACUGCAUGCACUGAUGGCACCUGCAGCUUCUUCUCUUGGAUCAGUUGCAGACUCUCAUAAAAAGAACGAAGAAAGAGAUCCUGACCUUUUCCACGUGAAACGCUAUUUAUGAUGGCAAACAGUAAAUCAUCAUUUCUCACUCCAAUAGAUUCCCGAACAUGCUCACGCAGAACACGUUUGGCCACAGUAUCUUCAGCCACUUGCAUGAGGUCUUUGCUAUUUCCAAGAUGCACAACAUAAG
rnacentral:misc_RNA from 1 species